GUCCCGCAACGAGCGCAACCCUAUCAUCUGUUGCCAGCAUUUAAGGUGGGGACUCAGAUGAGACUGCCGGUGACAAACCGGAGGAAGGUGGGGACGACGUCAAGUCAUCAUGGCCCUUAUGUCCUGGGCUACACACGUGCUACAAUGGCCGGUACAGAGUGAAGCGAAACCGCGAGGUGAAGCAAAACGCAGAAAGCCGGUCUCAGUACGGAUUGGAGUCUGAAACUCGACUUCAUGAAGUUGGAAUCGCUAGUAAUCGCGCAUCAGCAUGGCGCGGUGAAUACGUUCCCGGGCCUU
rnacentral:rRNA from 1 species